rnacentral:rRNA from 1 species
AGGACGAACGCUGGCGGCGCGCUUAACACAUGCAAGUCGAGCGAGAACCGGUCCUUCGGGACCGGGGAAAGCGGCGAACGGGUGAGUAACACGUGGGUAAUCAACCCUUGACUCUGGGAUAGCCCGGGGAAACUCGGAUUAAUACCGGAUGGCCCAACAGCUCUUCGGGGCGGUUGGAAAAGGUAGCUUCGGCCUCCGGUCAGGGACGAGCCCGCGGCGGAUUAGCUUGUUGGUGAGGUAACGGCUCACCAAGGCGACGAUCCGUAGCUGGUCUGAGAGGACGAUCAGCCACACUGGGACUGAGACACGGCCCAGACUCCUACGGGAGGCAGCAGUGGGGAAUCUUGCACAAUGGGCGAAAGCCUGAUGCAGCGACGCCGCGUGAGGGAAGAAGGCUCUCGGGUUGUAAACCUCUUUCAGAAGGGACGAAGCUCCUCGGGUUAAUAGCCCAGAGGGUGACGGUACCUUCAGAAGAAGCCCGGCUAACUACGUGCCAGCAGCCGC